CCUACGGGAGGCAGCAGUGGGGAAUAUUGGACAAUGGGGGGAACCCUGAUCCAGCCAUGCCGCGUGUGUGAAGAAGGCCCUCGGGUUGUAAAGCACUUUCAGUGAGGAAGAACGCCUGGUGGUUAAUACCCAUCAGGAAAGACAUCACUCACAGAAGAAGCACCGGCUAACUCCGUGCCAGCAGCCGCGGUAAUACGGAGGGUGCGAGCGUUAAUCGGAAUUACUGGGUGUAAAGCGCGCGUAGGUGGCUUGAUAAGCCGGUUGUGAAAGCCCCGGGCUCAACCUGGGAACGGCAUCCGGAACUGUCAAGCUAGAGUGCAGGAGAGGAAGGUAGAAUUCCCGGUGUAGCGGUGAAAUGCGUAGAGAUCGGGAGGAAUACCAGUGGCGAAGGCGGCCUUCUGGACUGACACUGACACUGAGGUGCGAAAGCGUGGGUAGCAAACAGGAUUAGAUACCCCUGUAGUC
rnacentral:rRNA from 1 species